rnacentral:lncRNA from 1 species
CUUCAGAGAAGAGGGAAGUUGGAGAUGGGCCCACAAGGAAGGGAGAGGGCCGCUGUACUGCCUCACCCCAUCAUAACUCUUGGAUAUGAGAAAAGUGAUGGUCCUGCUUGCUUGCCACUGGGACAAGAAACAUCCUGGGAGCUGAAAACAUCCUGGGAGGAACAAACAUCUCAGUUCCUCAUUGUUCUUGGAUUGUUACAUCUCAUUUAUGCAGGAUGUACCGAACUCUCCGCAAGUCAUUUGUUAACAUUUGUUUCUCCCGAUGUACUGAGUACUGAAUAAAAGGUGCGGUAAGCUGGGGGCUUUUGUCUUUGCCGCCCAGAGCAGCACUGAUCAGACCCAGAGCUCAGCUUCUUCUCAGUCUCAUUUUCCUACCUUUCCUGUAAUUUGCCUUGUGCUGCUGUGGCUCGCAGGAGACUAGGACUUACUGCAGAGGUUCUAGUAACGUCCCCUUUCCCUGUUCCCUACAGGCCGCCCAGCACAUCUCCCUAAGCAGCUUUAUUUUAGCAGCCUCCUUCCCAGUGAAUGGGAAGGCGCUGAUGAGUUCAGGCUUUCCAGGCCACUGGAUAUCUUAUCUCGG